GAUGAACGCUGGCGGCGUGCCUAAUACAUGCAAGUCGAGCGAACAGACGAGGAGCUUGCUCCUCUGACGUUAGCGGCGGACGGGUGAGUAACACGUGGAUAACCUACCUAUAAGACUGGGAUAACUUCGGGAAACCGGAGCUAAUACCGGAUAAUAUAUUGAACCGCAUGGUUCAAAAGUGAAAGACGGUUUUGCUGUCACUUAUAGAUGGAUCCGCGCCGCAUUAGCUAGUUGGUAAGGUAACGGCUUACCAAGGCAACGAUGCGUAGCCGACCUGAGAGGGUGAUCGGCCACACUGGAACUGAGACACGGUCCAGACUCCUACGGGAGGCAGCAGUAGGGAAUCUUCCGCAAUGGGCGAAAGCCUGACGGAGCAACGCCGCGUGAGUGAUGAAGGUCUUCGGAUCGUAAAACUCUGUUAUUAGGGAAGAACAAAUGUGUAAGUAACUAUGCACGUCUUGACGGUACCUAAUCAGAAAGCCACGGCUAACUACGUG
rnacentral:rRNA from 1 species